AAAUGCAAAAGCAUGUUCAAAGAUUUCAGUUGAUUGUUGUCACUUCGUAGUCUGUGGAGCUUCUAUCACGCCAAGUGAAGCAGUUUUAUGGAACUGCGGAUUGGUGUGUACCUAAGACGUGGCAUUCUGUCAUCAGGAAAGGAAGAAAUAGAGAAAGAAACUUUUCCCCUAGUCCCCAAUAGGUCUCACCUCUCAUCGUCUCAUCCCACAUCUACUCUUCUCACUAGAACUCCAAAAUAAUUGGCAUUUUGGUGGUUGCAUUGUGGUAGUAAACUAAAGAAGCAACAUGUUUCUGAUUUUUGUAUACUUGUUUCUU